rnacentral:antisense_RNA from 1 species
CAGUACGACAUUGCUCACAUUGCUUCCAGUAUUUCUUGCCCGCCUUUGCGCGGGCUUUUUUUU